rnacentral:tRNA from 2 species
UCCUCGGUAGCUCAGUUGGUAGAGCAAGCGACUGUUAAUUGCUGGGCCGGCGGUUCGAGUCCGUCCCGGGGAGCCA